rnacentral:rRNA from 1 species
UACGGAGGGUGCGAGCGUUGUCCGGAAUCAUUGGGCGUAAAGGGCGCGUAGGUGGCCCGGUAAGCGUGCGGUGAAAGCUCGGGGCUCAACCCCGAGUCGGCCGUGCGAACUGCUGGGCUUGAGCACUGUAGAGGCAGGCGGAAUUCCGGGUGUAGCAGUGAAAUGCGUAGAGAUGCGGAGGAACACCGAUGGCGAAGGCAGCCCCCUGGGCUAGCACUGACGCUCAGGCACGAAAGCGUGGGGAGCAAACAGG